rnacentral:rRNA from 1 species
UACAGAGGUGGCAAGCGUUGUUCGGAAUUACUGGGCGUAAAGGGCGCGUAGGCGGCCAUCUAAGUCAGACGUGAAAUCCCCCGGCUUAACCUGGGAACUGCGUCUGAUACUGGACGGCUUGAGUAUGGGAGAGGGAUGUAGAAUUCCAGGUGUAGCGGUGAAAUGCGUAGAUAUCUGGAGGAAUACCAAUAGCGAAGGCAGCUCGCUGGGCCGGUACUGACGCUGAGGAGCGAAAGCGUGGGGAGCAAACAGG